rnacentral:rRNA from 1 species
AUUGAACGCUGGCGGCAUGCUUUACACAUGCAAGUCGAACGGUAACAGGUUAAGCUGACGAGUGGCGAACGGGUGAGUAAUGCAUCGGAACGUGCCCGGUCGUGGGGGAUAACGCAGCGAAAGUUGCGCUAAUACCGCAUACGAUCUGAGGAUGAAAGCGGGGGACCGUAAGGCCUCGCGCGAUCGGAGCGGCCGAUGUCAGAUUAGGUAGUUGGUGGAGUAAAGGCUCACCAAGCCAACGAUCUGUAGCUGGUCUGAGAGGACGACCAGCCAGACUGGGACGCAGACACGGCCCAGACGCCGACGGGAGGCAGCAGUGGGGAAUUUUGGACAAUGGGCGAAAGCCUGAUCCAGCAAUGCCGCGUGCAGGAAGAAGGCCUUCGGGUUGUAAACUGCUUUUGUACGGAGCGAAAAGGUCUCCUCUAAUACAGGGGGCUCAUGACGGUACCGUAAGAAUAAGCACCGGCUAACUACGUGCCAGCCGCCGCCGUAA